GGGCAUGGUGUGCUUGUCUGAUGGACAGGGCAGCUUAGGGGAAUAAGUCUCUGCAGCGUUGUAGUGAAGAGAGAAUACGGGACAACUGCAGGACCACAGCUCAGCCAAGAGCUCCCUUGCAGCUGAGUUGGCCAUAUGACUGACAGCAAGCCCUGGAAUGCAGCCAGAAGUGAUAGAAGCCUCUUUCACACCAUGCUCCUAAAAUAUUCCAAGAAAUUUUCCAAACCUACUCUUUUUAGUCUGUGCAUCUGGAAGUGAAAGUUUUAGAAAGGGUAAAGUCACUUAAUGGAAAGGGCCCAGAUCUAGCCCCUCGGAGCCAAGCUGUCCAACUAGAAAUUCUGCAUUAGUAUUUGCGACAGAUCUUUGGAGAGAAAAUGCCAAGAGUGGAUGGAGAGGCAAUGGUGAAGCUGAGGCUGAAGUCGGAGGAAGCUGUGAACCCUGCAUGGGGUACCUGAACACCAGGGCAAGUUUCUGGCCCAGAAUGGCUUCUGGGAAAGGGGAUAUGACAUCUUAGGAAGAAGGGACUGGGGGAAAGAAAGCACUUUCUGCUUCUGUGGAUAUAAACACACAGUGUUUUAUUCCCUAGUGCAACAAAACCUCAAGAUCAACAGACAAGAGCUGAAAACCCUUUCCCACCAGACACAGUGCCAUCUAAAUGUUCUCUCAAAAGAUAGCAUCUCAUAAACAAUUUCAACAAAAGGAUGUCAGCUUUUACUUUAUGUGCAUGCACAAAAUCACUUUUCAGGAAAAAAAAUGACCAUUACCGAAUCCAUCAUAAAAUUAAUUACAUUUAGUUGAUCACGUUGGCUGACUGGUUAUAACUCUUGCUGUAUUUUCCAGAAGUGUGUUUCAUUUUAUUUAUCAUUAAAGGAAAAAAUAUUGUAGUUUUCCAAUAUACUGUCUAUUGGUGGUUCUCAAACUCCAGUGUAUGCCACAAUUGCCAAAGAAAUUUAACUAAAUGCAGAUUCCUUGGCACUGUCCCUCAAAAUUCCUAUUUACUUUUUCUGGUAUAAGGUACAGAUAAUUCUGAUUUACUUAAGCUAUGGUUUUAGAAACACUACACUCUAAUUCUAAUUAUUCAUGUUAGUUCUCAUGAAAAUAUUCACAUUAAUUCUAAUGAAAUAUAAUGUGACAAUACUAUAUGUAAGAAUUUCCUCCCUGACUUCAUUUUGAUAUGAAUAGGAGGCAGGGAAAUACUGGGUAGAAGGGGGCAGUUCCCCAGCAAAGGCCCCACCUGAACCCUGGAAACCCAUGGCCCUAAAUGGGAACAGGCAUUUCUGUUUUUGCACCCAAAUGUUGCCUUUUCCAAGACCAUUCUGGCCUGCCAUGCCCCUAUCCUGUGUCCAUAUAAACUCCAAGCUCCAGUGGCAAAGUGGCAGAAUGGCAUGACAGAGAAGCAGAGAAUAGAAGGAGUGUCUGAACAUCAGGAAGAUUUUGGCUGGGGACGGUCGGAGAGAGAUCAGCUGCAGGAUGACUGAACUCCAGGGGAAGAUCAUCUUCCCACUCCAUCCCCUUUCCAGGUCCCCAUCCAUCCCACUGAGAGCCACCCCCAUCACUCAAUAAAAUCCCCACAUUCACCAUCCUUCAAGUUCGUGUGACCUGAUUCUCUCUGGAUCCUGGACAAGGACCUGGGUACCAAGAGGGCAGGGUGUAAAAGGCUGUCACCCUGACUCUCCACUGAGCUGGAAUAGCCAUCCAUGGACAGCAACUGCUAAAAGAGCAUUAAGUGUAAUAUAUCCCUAGAUGCUAAAGUGGAGUUGGAGCCCAAGAGUGCUCACCCCAGCUCCUGCACCUGCCCAUCUGCAUGCUCCUACUCCCAUAAGGGGUUUGAGCAUGCAGUGGCCCAGCAAACAAGCCACAUCCCUGUUGCAAGUCCCACAACGGGGUCAGGGAACUCUCCCGUUUUAAUUUCAUUGGUAAUUUCCUAAAAUUGACUGUUGAUUCCUAUGUUCCUUUCAAUGGAUUGCUCUUUUGAGGAAAUUAC
ensembl:lncRNA LINC00499 long intergenic non-protein coding RNA 499